rnacentral:rRNA from 1 species
GGGUUGUGAGGUUAAGCGACUAAGCGUACACGGUGGAUGCCCUGGCAGUCAGAGGCGAUGAAGGACGUGCUAAUCUGCGAUAAGCGUCGGUGAGGUGAUAUGAACCGUUAUAACCGGCGAUUUCCGAAUGGGGAAACCCAGUGUGUUUCGACACACUAUCAUUAACUGAAUCCAUAGGUUAAUGAGGCGAACCGGGGGAACUGAAACAUCUAAGUACCCCGAGGAAAAGAAAUCAACCGAGAUUCCCCCAGUAGCGGCGAGCGAACGGGGAGGAGCCCAGAGCCUGAAUCAGUGUGUGUGUUAGUGGAAGCGUCUGGAAAGGCGCGCGAUACAGGGUGACAGCCCCGUACACAAAAAUGCACAUACUGUGAGCUCGAUGAGUAGGGCGGGACACGUGGUAUCCUGUCUGAAUAUGGGGGGACCAUCCUCCAAGGCUAAAUACUCCUGACUGACCGAUAGUGAACCAGUACCGUGAGGGAAAGGCGAAAAGAACCCCGGCGAGGGGAGUGAAAAAGAACCUGAAACCGUGUACGUACAAGCAGUGGGAGCCUCUUAAUGGGGUGACUGCGUACCUUUUGUAUAAUGGGUCAGCGACUUAUAUUCUGUAGCAAGGUUAACCGAAUAGGGGAGCCGAAGGGAAACCGAGUCUUAACUGGGCGUUAAGUUGCAGGGUAUAGACCCGAAACCCGGUGAUCUAGCCAUGGGCAGGUUGAAGGUUGGGUAACACUAACUGGAGGACCGAACCGACUAAUGUUGAAAAAUUAGCGGAUGACUUGUGGCUGGGGGUGAAAGGCCAAUCAAACCGGGAGAUAGCUGGUUCUCCCCGAAAGCUAUUUAGGUAGCGCCUCGUGAAUUCAUCUCCGGGGGUAGAGCACUGUUUCGGCAAGGGGGUCAUCCCGACUUACCAACCCGAUGCAAACUGCGAAUACCGGAGAAUGUUAUCACGGGAGACACACGGCGGGUGCUAACGUCCGUCGUGAAGAGGGAAACAACCCAGACCGCCAGCUAAGGUCCCAAAGUCAUGGUUAAGUGGGAAACGAUGUGGGAAGGCCCAGACAGCCAGGAUGUUGGCUUAGAAGCAGCCAUCAUUUAAAGAAAGCGUAAUAGCUCACUGGUCGAGUCGGCCUGCGCGGAAGAUGUAACGGGGCUAAACCAUGCACCGAAGCUGCGGCAGCGACGCUUAUGCGUUGUUGGGUAGGGGAGCGUUCUGUAAGCCUGUGAAGGUGUGCUGUGAGACAUGCUGGAGGUAUCAGAAGUGCGAAUGCUGACAUAAGUAACGAUAAAGCGGGUGAAAAGCCCGCUCGCCGGAAGACCAAGGGUUCCUGUCCAACGUUAAUCGGGGCAGGGUGAGUCGA